GACAGAGGGUGCAAACGUUGUUCGGAAUUACUGGGCGUAAAGCGCGUGUAGGCUGCUCUGCAAGUCGGAUGUGAAAGCCCUGGGCUCAACCUAGGAAGUGCAUACGAAACUGCGGAGCUUGAGUCCUGGAGAGGAAGGCGGAAUUCUCGGUGUAGAGGUGAAAUUCGUAGAGAUCCGGAAGAACACCGGUGGCGAAGGCGGCCUGCUGGGCAGUGGCUGACACUGAGGCGCGACAGCGUGGGGAGCAAACAGG
rnacentral:rRNA from 1 species